rnacentral:rRNA from 1 species
AGCUCCAAUAGCGUAUAUUAAAGUUGUUGCGGUUAAAAGCUCGUAGUUGGAAUUCUGCUGAGGACAACUGGUCCGCCCUCUGGGUGAGUAUCUGGUCUGGCCUUGGCAUCUUCUUGGGUAACACAGUUGCACUUGAUUGUGUGGUGUGGAACUCAAGGCUUUUACUUUGAGGAAAUCAGAGUGCUUCCAGCAGGCUACUGCCUUGAAUACAUUAGCAUGGAAUAAUAACAUAAGGCUUUGGUUUUAUUUUGUUGGUUUUUAGAAUUGAAGUAAUGAUUAAUAGGGAUAGUUGGGGGCAUUUGUAUUUAACUGUCAGAGGUGAAAUUCUUGGAUUUGUUAAAGACAAACUACUGCGAAAGCAUUUGCCAAGGAUGUUUUCUUUGAU